rnacentral:rRNA from 1 species
UACGUAGGGUGCGAGCGUUGUCCGGAAUUAUUGGGCGUAAAGAGCUUGUAGGCGGUUUGUCGCGUCUGCCGUGAAAUUUCGAGGCUCAACCUCGAACUUGCGGUGGGUACGGGCAGACUAGAGUGUGGCAGGGGGAGACUGGAAUUCCUGGUGUAGCGGUGGAAUGCGCAGAUAUCAGGAGGAACACCGGUGGCGAAGGCGGGUCUCUGGGCCAUUACUGACGCUGAGGAGCGAAAGCGUGGGGAGCGAACAGG